rnacentral:sRNA from 1 species
CAUGCCCCUUAUACGCUGGGCUACACACGUGCUACAAUGGGUAGUACAGAGAGUUGCAAAGCCGUGAGGUGAAGCUAAUCUCAGAAAACUAUUCUUAGUUCGGAUUGUACUCUGCAACUCGAGUACAUGAAGUUGGAAUCGCUAGUAAUCGCGAAUCAGCAAUGUCGCGGUGAAUACGUUCUCGGGUCUUGUACACACCGCCCGUCACACCACGAGAGUUGGUUGCACCUGAAGUAGCAGGCCUAACCGUAAGGAGGGAUGCUCCGAGGGUGUGAUUAGCGAUUGGGGUGAAGUCGUAACAAGGUAUCCGUACGGGAACGUGCGGAUGGAUCACCUCCUUUCUAAGGAGAGCAAGUCUUUCUCUAUUCUAUUGGUAAUGUUCUUACAUUACUUCUGAACAUUGGAAACUAUAUAGUAGAACAAACAAGAAAAAAAUUAACUCUAACAAUUUCUUAGAGUUAGCUGUCAAAAAAUAGAUUAAAAUAAUUAAGGGCACACAAAGGAUGCCUAGGUAGUAAGAGCCGAUGAAGGACGUGGUAAGCUGCGAUAAGCCUAG